AACGAACGCUGGCGGCAGGCUUAACACAUGCAAGUCGAGCGCCCCGCAAGGGGAGCGGCAGACGGGUGAGUAACACGUGGGAAUCUACCCAUCUCUACGGAAUAACUCAGGGAAACUUGUGCUAAUACCGUAUACGCCCUUCGGGGGAAAGAUUUAUCGGAGAUGGAUGAGCCCGCGUUGGAUUAGCUAGUUGGUGGGGUAAUGGCCUACCAAGGCGACGAUCCAUAGCUGGUCUGAGAGGAUGAUCAGCCACACUGGGACUGAGACACGGCCCAGACUCCUACGGGAGGCAGCAGUGGGGAAUAUUGGACAAUGAGCGAAAGCCUGAUCCAGCCAUGCCGCGUGAGUGAUGAAGGCCCUAGGGUUGUAAAGCUCUUUCACCGGUGAAGAUAAUGACGGUAACCGGAGAAGAAGCCCCGGCUAACUUCGUGCCAGCCGCCGCCGUAACAC
rnacentral:rRNA from 1 species